GAUGAACGCUAGCUACAGGCUUAACACAUGCAAGUCGAGGGGAAACGACAUUGACGCUUGCUUCGAUGGUCGUCGACCGGCGCACGGGUGAGUAACGCGUAUCCAACCUGCCUCUGACCAAGGGAUAACCCGUCGAAAGUCGGCCUAAUACCUUAUGCAGUCGUCGGAAGUCAUCUGAUGACGACGAAAGAUUUCAUCGGUGAGAGAUGGGGAUGCGUCUGAUUAGCUUGUUGGCGGGGUAACGGCCCACCAAGGCAACGAUCAGUAGGGGUUCUGAGAGGGAGGUCCCCCACAUUGGAACUGAGACACGGUCCAAACUCCUACGGGAGGCAGCAGUGAGGAAUAUUGGUCAAUGGGCGAGAGCCUGAACCAGCCAAGUAGCGUGCAGGAUGACGGCCCUAUGGGUUGUAAACUGCUUUUAUGCGGGGAUAAAGUGAGGGACGUGUCCUUCAUUGCAGGUACCGCAUGAAUAAGGACCGGCUAAUUCCGUG
rnacentral:rRNA from 1 species